CACAGUGACCAUACUUGCUUGUCUGAUCUUGUCUAAUCUCUGAAUCUAAGUGGAGCCGGGCCUGGCUAGAACUCGGGUGGGAGACCGCUGGGAAUACCAGGUGCUACAGUGG
rnacentral:rRNA from 1 species